rfam:Myotis lucifugus cont2.29499, whole genome shotgun sequence.
UCAGCCCGACUCUGCGCUGAGCGGUGGCCUGACCCUGGGGUGUGAACUCGCCUGGGGAGGAGCCUGGUCUUGUGGAAACUGAACUUAGCUUCUCGGGCUGAGGGCUCGGGCCCAGGGUGGUGGCAGU